GACGAACGCUGGCGGCGUGCUUAACACAUGCAAGUCGAACGAUGAACCGGUUUCGGCCGGGGAUUAGUGGCGAACGGGUGAGUAACACGUGGGCAAUCUGCCCUGCACUCUGGGACAAGCCCUGGAAACGGGGUCUAAUACCGGAUAUGACACGGGAAUGCAUGUUCCUGUGUGUAAAGCUCCGGCGGUGCAGGAUGAGCCCGCGGCCUAUCAGCUAGUUGGUGGGGUAGAGGCCUACCAAGGCGACGACGGGUAGCCGGCCUGAGAGGGCGACCGGCCACACUGGGACUGAGACACGGCCCAGACUCCUACGGGAGGCAGCAGUGGGGAAUAUUGCACAAUGGGCGAAAGCCUGAUGCAGCGACGCCGCGUGAGGGAUGACGGCCUUCGGGUUGUAAACCUCUUUCAGCAGGGAAGAAGCUUUCGGGUGACGGUACCUGCAGAAGAAGCACCGGCUAACUACGUGCCAGCCGCCGCAGUAAAAC
rnacentral:rRNA from 1 species